GACGAACGCUGGCGGCGUGCCUAAUACAUGCAAGUCGAACGCUGAAGAGAGGAGCUUGCUCUUCUUGGAUGAGUUGCGAACGGGUGAGUAACGCGUAGGUAACCUGCCUGGUAGCGGGGGAUAACUAUUGGAAACGAUAGCUAAUACCGCAUAAAAUGGAUUAUCGCAUGAUAAUCCAUUGAAAGGUGCAAAUGCAUCACUACCAGAUGGACCUGCGUUGUAUUAGCUAGUUGGUGGGGUAACGGCUCACCAAGGCGACGAUACAUAGCCGACCUGAGAGGGUGAUCGGCCACACUGGGACUGAGACACGGCCCAGACUCCUACGGGAGGCAGCAGUAGGGAAUCUUCGGCAAUGGACGGAAGUCUGACCGAGCAACGCCGCGUGAGUGAAGAAGGUUUUCGGAUCGUAAAGCUCUGUUGUAAGAGAAGAACGAGUGUGAGAGUGGAAAGUUCACACUGUGACGGUAGCUUACCAGAAAGGGACGGCUAACUACGUG
rnacentral:rRNA from 1 species